CACCAACGGUAGCCUGGAGCAUUCUGCAGGCUGAAAUGCCUUGUUAAUUCACACUUGCUCUGUGAAUGCCUAUGGACAUUGAUAUAUACUAGUUGUAUCAGGCUGUAAGGUUUGUAGAUGAGAUGUUAAGAAGAUGGGAAGAGGAUGAGAAGAACGAGAUAUAGGUAUCUAAUCCUACUUCUUUUGUUGAUCCCAGUCCUAGCAGAAGGUGCUGGGGAGUUCAAAGCUGGUUUUACCCUCAAGGCACAGAGCAUUAGGGAUGGUGAUCUGGUGCUUGAUCUUCACUGGGAGAAACAGGAAUUUCAAGAUUCAAGAUCCAAAUGUGACUCCUGUUUGGGCAGACUGGAGUUCAUCUUUCCAGUGGGCUGGUGAUAAAGAUUCUUUAAAAAACAUCUCUGUGGUUCUCACGCAUAGGAGACAAUACAAGGAUGAUCUGAAAGUCAUGAUGGCAGAUGUACAACAACAGAAGCUUUCUUGGCUUCCUGUUCAGGAAACAAGGAGAAGAAAGUGUCGAGUCGGUUACUCUCACUGUGACCUCCCUCAGUCUUCUCAGAAAGAGGUUCUUCACCGCUCCUCAGGGGGUGAGGCUUUGGACCAGGCUGCCCAGGGAGGUGGUGCAGCCAUCAUCCCUGGGUGUGCUCAAGGAUAGAUGUGGCACUGAGGGACAUGGUCAGCGGGCACGGCCUGCCAGAGGUUUUCACAGCAAUCACGCUCAUUUCCAAGGAAGUCAUUCUUUCUUAGCUUAACAAUAAGGACUGUUUCUCAAGGUUUGUCAACAUACUGUGCAUAAGCACAAUAAACCUGAUCCUAUGAAAAAAAAAAAAGACACCAUCCAUUUUGCUCUUAUUAAAACAGUGGUAUAACUGCUGAUAAACCACCAUAUUAUCAUGUUGGUACGAACACAAUGUGCUGUGUUGUUUUGACACUUCUGGAUGUGUUUCUUCAUUCCCUCUGAGCUUUGUUAUGUCACUGUCAAAAUAGCUGCUGGUAGCAAAUUUUAUGACUUGUAUGGCAAAGGCUGCGGUGCCACGGAGAUGAACAAAGGAUGGAUCAAAUCAGAGACAAUCCAUCUUCCCUCCUCGCGAUUGCACUCGCCCUUCCUUCUCUCCUUGGCAGACUCUGAGGCUCUGCGGCAGAGCAUUGCACUGCUGCAGGAACCACAGCCACAUUAAUGCUGUGCUGGAUGCCUCCAUACGCU
ensembl:lncRNA